rnacentral:rRNA from 1 species
UACGUAGGGGGCAAGCGUUGUCCGGAAUCAUUGGGCGUAAAGCGCGUGUAGGCGGCUCGGUAAGUCUGCUGUGAAAGUCCAGGGCUCAACCCUGGGAUGCCGGUGGAUACUGUCGAGCUCGAGUCCGGAAGAGGCGAGUGGAAUUCCUGGUGUAGCGGUGAAAUGCGUAGAGAUCGGGAGGAACACCCGUGGCGAAGGCGGCCAACUGGGAUACACCUGACGCUGAGGCACGAAGGCGUGGGGAGCGAACGGG